rnacentral:rRNA from 1 species
GGUCAAAUCAUCAUGCCCCUUAUGUCCUGGGCUUCACACGUACUACAAUGGCGGUCAACAACGGGUCGCAGAGCCGCGAGGCCGAGCCAAUCCCCAAAAGCCGCCUCAGUUCAGAUUGCAGGCUGCAACUCGCCUGCAUGAAGUUGGAAUUGCUAGUAAUCGCGAAUCAGCAUGUCGCGGUGAAUACGUUCCCGGGCAUU